AGGGUUUGAUCAUGGCUCAGAACGUACGCUGGCGGCACGCCUAACACAUGCAAGUCGAACGCAGUAGCAAUACUGAGUGGCAAACGGGUGAGUAUAAUGUGGGAAUCUGCCUUUUGGUCUGGAAUAACACGGGGAAACUUGUGCUAAUACCGGAUAAGCCUUUACGGGGAAAGUUUUAACGCCGAAAGAUGAGCCUGCACUUGAUUAGCUAGUUGGUAAGGUAAAAGCUUACCAAGGCAACGAUCAAUAGCUGUUCUUAGAGGAAGACCAGCCACAUUGGGACUGAGACACGGCCCAGACUCCUACGGGAGGCAGCAGUGGGGAAUCUUGCACAAUGGGGGAAACCCUGAUGCAGCGAUGCCGCGUGAGUGAAGAAGGCCCUUGGGUUGUAAAACUCUUUCGUCGGGGAAGAAAAUGACUGUACCCGAAUAAGAAGGUCCGGCUAACUUCGUGCCAGCAGCCGCGGUAAUAC
rnacentral:rRNA from 1 species